rnacentral:rRNA from 1 species
AGUGAACGCUGGCGGCAGGCCUAACACAUGCAAGUCGAACGGCAGCACAAGAGAGCUUGCUCUCUGGGUGGCGAGUGGCGGACGGGUGAGGAAUGCAUCGGAAUCUGCCCAUUUGUGGGGGAUAACCUCGGGAAACCGGGACUAAUACCGCAUACGACCUACGGGUGAAAGGAGGGGAUCUUCGGACCUUGCGCAGAUGGAUGAGCCGAUGCCGGAUUAGCUAGUUGGAGGGGUAAAGGCCCACCAAGGCGACGAUCCGUAGCUGGUCUGAGAGGAUGAUCAGCCACACUGGGACUGAGACACGGCCCAGACUCCUACGGGAGGCAGCAGUGGGGAAUAUUGGACAAUGGGCGCAAGCCUGAUCCAGCCAUGCCGCGUGUGUGAAGAAGGCCUUCGGGUUGUAAAGCACUUUUGUUGGGAAAGAAAAGCAGCCGGUUAAUACCCGGUUGUCAUGACGGUACCCAAAGAAUAAGCACCGGCUAACUUCGUG